rnacentral:tRNA from 1 species
GAAAGGAACACAAGAAAUGNUAACUCCAACGACUGAUACUAAGAUAUCAGGCCUUUCC